rnacentral:rRNA from 1 species
GGGUUGUGAGGUUAAGCGACUAAGCGUACACGGUGGAUGCCCUGGCAGUCAGAGGCGAUGAAGGACGUGCUAAUCUGCGAUAAGCGUCGGUAAGGUGAUAUGAACCGUUAUAACCGGCGAUUUCCGAAUGGGGAAACCCAGUGUGAUUCGUCACACUAUCAUUAACUGAAUCCAUAGGUUAAUGAGGCGAACCGGGGGAACUGAAACAUCUAAGUACCCCGAGGAAAAGAAAUCAACCGAGAUUCCCCCAGUAGCGGCGAGCGAACGGGGAGCAGCCCAGAGCCUGAAUCAGUGUGUGUGUUAGUGGAAGCGUCUGGAAAGGCGCGCGAUACAGGGUGACAGCCCCGUACACAAAAAUGCACAUGCUGUGAGCUCGAUGAGUAGGGCGGGACACGUGGUAUCCUGUCUGAAUAUGGGGGGACCAUCCUCCAAGGCUAAAUACUCCUGACUGACCGAUAGUGAACCAGUACCGUGAGGGAAAGGCGAAAAGAACCCCGGCGAGGGGAGUGAAAAAGAACCUGAAACCGUGUACGUACAAGCAGUGGGAGCACGCUUAGGCGUGUGACUGCGUACCUUUUGUAUAAUGGGUCAGCGACUUAUAUUCUGUAGCAAGGUUAACCGAAUAGGGGAGCCGAAGGGAAACCGAGUCUUAACUGGGCGUUAAGUUGCAGGGUAUAGACCCGAAACCCGGUGAUCUAGCCAUGGGCAGGUUGAAGGUUGGGUAACACUAACUGGAGGACCGAACCGACUAAUGUUGAAAAAUUAGCGGAUGACUUGUGGCUGGGGGUGAAAGGCCAAUCAAACCGGGAGAUAGCUGGUUCUCCCCGAAAGCUAUUUAGGUAGCGCCUCGUGAAUUCAUCUCCGGGGGUAGAGCACUGUUUCGGCAAGGGGGUCAUCCCGACUUACCAACCCGAUGCAAACUGCGAAUACCGGAGAAUGUUAUCACGGGAGACACACGGCGGGUGCUAACGUCCGUCGUGAAGAGGGAAACAACCCAGACCGCCAGCUAAGGUCCCAAAGUCAUGGUUAAGUGGGAAACGAUGUGGGAAGGCCCAGACAGCCAGGAUGUUGGCUUAGAAGCAGCCAUCAUUUAAAGAAAGCGUAAUAGCUCACUGGUCGAGUCGGCCUGCGCGGAAGAUGUAACGGGGCUAAACCAUGCACCGAAGCUGCGGCAGCGACGCUUAUGCGUUGUUGGGUAGGGGAGCGUUCUGUAAGCCUGUGAAGGUGUGCUGUGAGGCAUGCUGGAGGUAUCAGAAGUGCGAAUGCUGACAUAAGUAACGAUAAAGCGGGUGAAAAGCCCGCUCGCCGGAAGACCAAGGGUUCCUGUCCAACGUUAAUCGGGGCAGGGUGAGUCGACCCCUAAGGCGAGGCCGAAAGGCGUAGUCGAUGGGAAACAGGUUAAUAUUCCUGUACUUGGUGUUACUGCGAAGGGGGGACGGAGAAGGCUAUGUUGGCCGGGCGACGGUUGUCCCGGUUUAAGCGUGUAGGCUGGUUUUCCAGGCAAAUCCGGAAAAUCAAGGCUGAGGCGUGAUGACGAGGCACUACGGUGCUGAAGCAACAAAUGCCCUGCUUCCAGGAAAAGCCUCUAAGCAUCAGGUAACAUCAAAUCGUACCCCAAACCGACACAGGUGGUCAGGUAGAGAAUACCAAGGCGCUUGAGAGAACUCGGGUGAAGGAACUAGGCAAAAUGGUGCCGUAACUUCGGGAGAAGGCACGCUGAUAUGUAGGUGAAGUCCCUCGCGGAUGGAGCUGAAAUCAGUCGAAGAUACCAGCUGGCUGCAACUGUUUAUUAAAAACACAGCACUGUGCAAACACGAAAGUGGACGUAUACGGUGUGACGCCUGCCCGGUGCCGGAAGGUUAAUUGAUGGGGUCAGCGCAAGCGAAGCUCUUGAUCGAAGCCCCGGUAAACGGCGGCCGUAACUAUAACGGUCCUAAGGUAGCGAAAUUCCUUGUCGGGUAAGUUCCGACCUGCACGAAUGGCGUAAUGAUGGCCAGGCUGUCUCCACCCGAGACUCAGUGAAAUUGAACUCGCUGUGAAGAUGCAGUGUACCCGCGGCAAGACGGAAAGACCCCGUGAACCUUUACUAUAGCUUGACACUGAACAUUGAGCCUUGAUGUGUAGGAUAGGUGGGAGGCUUUGAAGUGUGGACGCCAGUCUGCAUGGAGCCGACCUUGAAAUACCACCCUUUAAUGUUUGAUGUUCUAACGUUGACCCGUAAUCCGGGUUGCGGACAGUGUCUGGUGGGUAGUUUGACUGGGGCGGUCUCCUCCUAAAGAGUAACGGAGGAGCACGAAGGUUGGCUAAUCCUGGUCGGACAUCAGGAGGUUAGUGCAAUGGCAUAAGCCAGCUUGACUGCGAGCGUGACGGCGCGAGCAGGUGCGAAAGCAGGUCAUAGUGAUCCGGUGGUUCUGAAUGGAAGGGCCAUCGCUCAACGGAUAAAAGGUACUCCGGGGAUAACAGGCUGAUACCGCCCAAGAGUUCAUAUCGACGGCGGUGUUUGGCACCUCGAUGUCGGCUCAUCACAUCCUGGGGCUGAAGUAGGUCCCAAGGGUAUGGCUGUUCGCCAUUUAAAGUGGUACGCGAGCUGGGUUUAGAACGUCGUGAGACAGUUCGGUCCCUAUCUGCCGUGGGCGCUGGAGAACUGAGGGGGGCUGCUCCUAGUACGAGAGGACCGGAGUGGACGCAUCACUGGUGUUCGGGUUGUCAUGCCAAUGGCACUGCCCGGUAGCUAAAUGCGGAAGAGAUAAGUGCUGAAAGCAUCUAAGCACGAAACUUGCCCCGAGAUGAGUUCUCCCUGAC